AUAGAUACCCCGGUAGUCCACGCCGUAAACGAUGAGUGCUAAGUGUUAGAGGGUUUCCGCCCUUUAGUGCUGCAGCUAACGCAUUAAGCACUCCGCCUGGGGAGUACGGUCGCAAGACUGAAACUCAAAGGAAUUGACGGGGGCCCGCACAAGCGGUGGAGCAUGUGGUUUAAUUCGAAGCAACGCGAAGAACCUUACCAGGUCUUGACAUCCUCUGACAACUCUAGAGAUAGAGCGUUCCCCUUCGGGGGACAGAGUGACAGGUGGUGCAUGGUUGUCGUCAGCUCGUGUCGUGAGAUGUUGGGUUAAGUCCCGCAACGAGCGCAACCCUUGAUCUUAGUUGCCAGCAUUUAGUUGGGCACUCUAAGGUGACUGCCGGUGACAAACCGGAGGAAGGUGGGGAUGACGUCAAAUCAUCAUGCCCCUUAUGACCUGGGCUACACACGUGCUACAAUGGAUGGUACAAAGGGCUGCAAGACCGCGAGGUCAAGCCAAUCCCAUAAAACCAUUCUCAGUUCGGA
rnacentral:rRNA from 1 species